UCCCCCGUGAGGGGGCAGUCUCGCCUGACAUAAGUAACAGACAACGAGGGUUGCGUUCGUUACCCCACUGAAGGGAACAGCUCAAGCCACGAACUGACGACAACCAUGCAUCACCUGCCAAGCACCCUCGAAGGAUUCCCUCUUUUCGGAGGGCGUGCAGCUUGGUUUCUAGCCUGGGUAAGGUUCUUCGCUUAUCGACGAAUUAAGCCACAUGAUCCACCGCUUGUGCGAGUCCCCGUCUAUUCCUUUGAGUUUUAAUCUUGCGAUCGUACUACCCAGGCGGCUCGCUUACCGCGUUAGCUUAGUCCCACAGAGGGUCGAUACUCCGUAGAACGAGCGAGCAGCGUUUAGGGCCAGGACUA
rnacentral:misc_RNA from 1 species